GAACUAUCCUCUCUGUUGUAGAUCUGACCAAGAUUUGAUAUGUUGUUUGCGAUUUGGGUGGCUUCUGGAGAAGGAAGAUCCUGCAUUUCAUAGGCCUUGACUCCACGAGUUCUACAUUGUUGUAGUGGAAGGAGGCCAUGAUCACAGCCUGCUGGAGUAGUAUAGAUCCUAUGGAUAGAGUUGGUGCUACUAGGCAUCCCUAUAACGCAAGCAGGGAUGAAAUUAGAUUAAACUGGGCCACCUCUCGUCUAACAAUUGUUGCUUCUGGACACACUCAACCUCACAAAGAAAGGAAACAUAAUGAAUUAUCUGCGAGUAUCUCACCCUGUGCUCACCAUGGUGGCCUUGUCACAUAGUGCAGAUAACGCAGAUACUGUCUCUGGCUUAAUCCGAGGUUGAGAAGCGGAGCAGGUAAAGGAAGGCCUUGAGGGUUUGAGAUGUCGUGAUAGCUUGAAGAAGUGGCAGUUCACAGCUGCCAUUG